AGUUUGUUGGAAAAACCUACCCAUCCCUGAGAGUUGGAAAUGAUCGAUCCGAAGGCAGCAGCCGAGCCACUUCAACUACUUGCUCGGGGACCGGAGCGCUGCUGAAAAGAGGAAGGCCAACCAUUCGACUGCUUUGAGUUCCGGACUUCAAAAAUUCCAUUUCCGAGCAUGGGAAGCUAUGAUCUCUACUUCCAUUAAACCUGAGAGGAGGGGUGUCUUACGGGCCUGGACAGAAGACGGAGACCCCAAGGA